UGAGUGCGAGUUGCUAAAAGAGCAGAGGGUAGUGUUAGUUUUGAUAUCAUUCGCCACUGAUAUAUUGGGAAGCGUGUUAACUGCUGUGCCACAGCUUCACCACGAAACCUAUCACACAAAAGACAAAUACCCCCCAUAUAUCCUUGAACAGGCUGUUGGGGCAAGUGCUGUUAGAGAACAUCAAUGAAGACCGGCACGGCACACGAAGGGGCAUUCUUGCAAAGCAGCUGGAAGGCACCGGCACUGCUGUUUCUUCAAAUUGUAUCCUGAGGCCCUAAAUCAUCGUUCAAGCAAAGGUCGGCGGAGCGUCUUACAAUCCGACAACCCAGCUGGCAUAUGACAUGUGUGAAGGAAUUGAAACAUAUACGAUGCUGCGAAAAUGAACAGGCUGGAUGAUCAAGAGCCUCACCAACGCAUGCUAAUGCAUGGACGAUCGCCCUUGAGGAAGAGCUAACAACCACACUGGAACUUCCCCCGGGGAAACCAUGACAUGAAUUUGAAAAACGCACAUUUUUCGCAUCGGAAUUUAACCGUCUUUACAACAUUCAAAAACAUUCAAC